rnacentral:rRNA from 1 species
UUGUCUCAAAGAUUAAGCCAUGCAUGUCUCAGUACAAGCCAAAUUAAGGUGAAACCGCAAAAGGCUCAUUAAAUCAGUUAUGGUUCCUUAGAUCGUACCCACACUUACUUGGAUAACUGUGGUAAUUCUAGAGCUAAUACAUGCAAACAGAGCUCCAACCGGAGACGGAAGGAGUGCUUUUAUUAGAUCAAAACCAAUCGGUGGCGGGUUCGCUCGUUCAUCGUAUAACUUGGUGACUCUGAAUAACUUUACGCUGAUCGCACGGUCUUUGCACCGGCGACGCAUCUUUCAAAUGUCUGCCUUAUCAACUGUCGAUGGUAGGUUCUGCGCCUACCAUGGUUGUAACGGGUAACGGGGAAUCAGGGUUCGAUUCCGGAGAGGGAGCCUGAGAAACGGCUACCACAUCCAAGGAAGGCAGCAGGCGCGCAAAUUACCCACUCCCGGCACGGGGAGGUAGUGACGAAAAAUAACGAUACGGGACUCAUCCGAGGCCCCGUAAUCGGAAUGAGUACACUUUAAAUCCUUUAACGAGGAUCAAUUGGAGGGCAAGUCUGGUGCCAGCAGCCGCGGUAAUUCCAGCUCCAAUAGCGUAUAUUAAAGUUGUUGCGGUUAAAAAGCUCGUAGUCGAAUUUGUGUCUCGUGCCGCUGGUUCAUCGUCCGCGGUGUUAACUGGCGAGUCACGAGACGUCCUGCCGGUGGGUUGAGCUCGUUUACGCGGGUGAAGCCCAAAUCAAUCCUGCCGCGGUGCUCUUCAUUGAGUGUCGAGGUGGGCCGGCACGUUUACUUUGAACAAAUUAGAGUGCUUAAAGCAGGCUAAAACUUCGCCUGAAUACUGUGUGCAUGGAAUAAUGGAAUAGGACCUCGGUUCUAUUUUGUUGGUUUUCGGAACUCCGAGGUAAUGAUUAAUAGGAACGGAUGGGGGCAUUCGUAUUGCGACGUUAGAGGUGAAAUUCUUGGAUCGUCGCAAGACGGACAGAAGCGAAAGCAUUUGCCAAAAACGCUUUCAUUGAUCAAGAACGAAAGUUAGAGGUUCGAAGGCGAUCAGAUACCGCCCUAGUUCUAACUAUAAACGAUGCCAGCUAGCGAUCCGUCGACGUUCCUCCGAUGACUCGACGGGCAGCUUCCGGGAAACCAAAGCUUUUGGGUUCCGGGGGAAGUAUGGUUGCAAAGCUGAAACUUAAAGGAAUUGACGGAAGGGCACCACCAGGAGUGGAGCCUGCGGCUUAAUUUGACUCAACACGGGAAACCUCACCAGGCCCGGACACCGGAAGGAUUGACAGAUUGAGAGCUCUUUCUUGAUUCGGUGGGUGGUGGUGCAUGGCCGUUCUUAGUUGGUGGAGCGAUUUGUCUGGUUAAUUCCGAUAACGAACGAGACUCUAGCCUGCUAAAUAGGCGUAUUUUGACAUCCUAAAGGCCCGCCAGCUUGGGGUUUCGGCUCCUUGUUGUGCGCGGUUUUUACUGUCAGCGUAUAAACAAUUCUUCUUAGAGGGACAGGCGGCUUCUAGCCGCACGAGAUUGAGCAAUAACAGGUCUGUGAUGCCCUUAGAUGUUCUGGGCCGCACGCGCGCUACACUGAAGGAAUCAGCGUGUCCUCCCUGGCCGAGUGGCCCGGGUAACCCGCUGAACCUCCUUCGUGCUAGGGAUUGGGGCUUGCAAUUGUUCCCCAUGAACGAGGAAUUCCCAGUAAGCGCGAGUCAUAAGCUCGCGUUGAUUACGUCCCUGCCCUUUGUACACACCGCCCGUCGCUAC